rnacentral:rRNA from 1 species
GUCCACGCCCUAAACGAUGGAUACUAAGUGUCGGCGGGUUACCGCCGGUGCCGCAGCUAACGCAUUAAGUAUCCCGCCUGGGGAGUACGGCCGCAAGGUUGAAACUCAAAGGAAUUGACGGGGCCCGCACAAGCGGUGGAGCAUGUGGUUCAAUUCGACGCAACGCGAAGAACCUUACCCAGGCUGGACAAGCAGGUAGUAAGAACCUGAAAAGGGCAAUGAGGUAGCAAUACCAUCCUGCUCAGGUGCUGCAUGGCUGUCGU